rnacentral:rRNA from 1 species
UGAACGCCGGCGGUGUGCCUAAUACAUGCAAGUCGUACGCACUGGCCCAACUGAUUGAUGGUGCUUGCACCUGAUUGACGAUGGAUCACCAGUGAGUGGCGGACGGGUGAGUAACACGUAGGUAACCUGCCCCGGAGCGGGGGAUAACAUUUGGAAACAGAUGCUAAUACCGCAUAACAACAAAAGCCACAUGGCUUUUGUUUGAAAGAUGGCUUUGGCUAUCACUCUGGGAUGGACCUGCGGUGCAUUAGCUAGUUGGUAAGGUAACGGCUUACCAAGGCGAUGAUGCAUAGCCGAGUUGAGAGACUGAUCGGCCACAAUGGAACUGAGACACGGUCCAUACUCCUACGGGAGGCAGCAGUAGGGAAUCUUCCACAAUGGGCGCAAGCCUGAUGGAGCAACACCGCGUGAGUGAAGAAGGGUUUCGGCUCGUAAAGCUCUGUUGUUGGAGAAGAACGUGCGUGAGAGUAACUGUUCACGCAGUGACGGUAUCCAACCAGAAAGUCACGGCUAACUACGUGCCAGCAGCCGCGGUAAUACGUAGGUGGCAAGCGUUAUCCGGAUUUAUUGGGCGUAAAGCGAGCGCAGGCGGUUGCUUAGGUCUGAUGUGAAAGCCUUCGGCUUAACCGAAGAAGUGCAUCGGAAACCGGGCGACUUGAGUGCAGAAGAGGACAGUGGAACUCCAUGUGUAGCGGUGGAAUGCGUAGAUAUAUGGAAGAACACCAGUGGCGAAGGCGGCUGUCUGGUCUGCAACUGACGCUGAGGCUCGAAAGCAUGGGUAGCGAACAGGAUUAGAUACCCUGGUAGUCCAUGCCGUAAACGAUGAGUGCUAGGUGUUGGAGGGUUUCCGCCCUUCAGUGCCGGAGCUAACGCAUUAAGCACUCCGCCUGGGGAGUACGACCGCAAGGUUGAAACUCAAAGGAAUUGACGGGGGCCCGCACAAGCGGUGGAGCAUGUGGUUUAAUUCGAAGCUACGCGAAGAACCUUACCAGGUCUUGACAUCUUGCGCUAACCUUAGAGAUAAGGCGUUCCCUUCGGGGACGCAAUGACAGGUGGUGCAUGGUCGUCGUCAGCUCGUGUCGUGAGAUGUUGGGUUAAGUCCCGCAACGAGCGCAACCCUUGUUACUAGUUGCCAGCAUUAAGUUGGGCACUCUAGUGAGACUGCCGGUGACAAACCGGAGGAAGGUGGGGACGACGUCAGAUCAUCAUGCCCCUUAUGACCUGGGCUACACACGUGCUACAAUGGACGGUACAACGAGUCGCAAGCUCGCGAGAGUAAGCUAAUCUCUUAAAGCCGUUCUCAGUUCGGACUGUAGGCUGCAACUCGCCUACACGAAGUCGGAAUCGCUAGUAAUCGCGGAUCAGCAUGCCGCGGUGAAUACGUUCCCGGGCCUUGUACACACCGCCCGUCACACCAUGGGAGUUUGUAACGCCCAAAGUCGGUGG